CUGCCUAUGAUGAUGAGACCACUGCGCAAUCUGAGUUCUGGGAACCAGGUGAUGGAGUGUGCUGCAAAUACUGAGGCCA